rnacentral:tRNA from 2 species
GGGCCCGUAGCUCAGCCAGGUAGAGCGACCGGCUCUUAACCGGUCGGCCGCGGGUUCGAAUCCCGUCGGGCCCGCCA